GUCAACACUUGCAUUCAUCCUUCCAGCUGUUGGCAUUGCUAUUAUUAUUAUCUCCUUGCAUUUCUCCAUGAAAAUGAGAAGAGGUUGCAAACAAGCCCAGGAACAAGCAGGAAAGCUCAGUAGCACACUGGAUCAUCAGAAAACACAGGAACAAGCUGGCACACCAUAUGCUGAACUUCAGUGGCCUGAAUGUACCAAGGAAAAAAUGAACAUCCGUUUUCACAAAGAAACAGCCGAGUAUGCCACUGUGCGGAGCACACGUAAAUAACUUUUUCGCUUAGAUGAUCGGCACUGCAAGCAUAAGACCAUUAGAUACAGGAGCAGAAAUAGGCCAUUCAUCCCAUCGAGUCUACUCCGUCAUUCUAUCAUGGGCUGAUCAAAUUCUUCCAGUCAUCCCCACUCCCCUGCCUUCUCCCCAUAACCUUUGAUGUCAUGGCUAAUCAAGAACCUAUUUAUCUCUGCCUUAAAUAUACCUGAUGACUUGGCCUCCACAGCCACUCAUGGCAACAAAUUCCACAGAAUUACCACCUUCUUAUUAAAGUAAUUUCUCCGCACCUCUAUUUUAAAUGGGCUUCCUUCAAUCCUGAAGUCGUGCACUCUUGUCCUAGACUCCCCUGCCAUGGGAAAUAACUUCACCAUAUCUAAUCUGUUCAGGCCUCCUAAUAUUCAGGUGCAUAUUGGUAGUCUACUGAACAUUUCUUUCUCUGCCCAGUGAUCUUAGUCUAUUGGAGAUGAGAACAGAAUAUUUUAUAAGUAUUUAUGAAUGAUACUGUAUGCUUAAAUAUUGUCUUGCUGCCUAAAGAGUCAUUUGUAAUGGAAUACCUUUGUAUUGGUAUU